AGAAUCAGAGCAGGUGGUCAGUCCUGUUAGAAUCAGAGCAGGUGGUCAGUCCUGUUAGAAUCAGAGCAGGUGGUCAGUCCUGUUAGAAUCAGAGCAGGUGGUCAGUCCUGUUAGGGUUAGAAUCAGAGCAGGUGGUCAGUCCUGUUAGAAUCAGAGCAGGUGGUCAGUCCUGUUAGGGUUAGAAUCAGAGCAGGUGGUCAGUCCUGUUAGGGUUAGAAUCAGAGCAGGUGGUCAGUCCUGUUAGGGUUAGAAUCAGAGCGGGUGGUCAGUCCUGUUAGGGUUAGAAUCAGAGCAGGUGGUCAGUCCUGUUAGGGUUAGAAUCAGAGCAGGUGGUCAGUCCUGUUAGAAUCAGAGCAGGUGGUCAGUCCUGUUAGAAUCAGUGCAGGUGGUCAGUCCUGUUAGAAUCAGAGCGGGUGGUCAGUCCUGUUAGAAUCAGAGCGGGUGGUCAGUCCUGUUAGGGUUAGAAUCAGAGCAGGUGGUCAGUCCUGUUAGAAUCAGAGCGGGUGGUCAGUCCUGUUAGGGUUAGAAUCAGAGCAGGUGGUCAGUCCUGUUAGGGUUAGAAUCAGAGCAGGUGGUCAGUCCUGUUAGAAUCAGAGCAGGUGGUCAGUCCUGUUAGGGUUAGAAUCAGAGCAGGUGGUCAGUCCUGUUAGGGUUAGAAUCAGAGCAGGUGGUCAGUCCUGUUAGGGUUAGAAUCAGAGCAGGUGGUCAGUCCUGUUAGGGUUAGAAUCAGAGCAGGUGGUCAGUCCUGUUAGGGUUAGAAUCAGAGCAGGUGGUCAGUCCUGUUAGGGUUAGAAUCAGAGCAGGUGGUCAGUCCUGUUAGAAUCAGAGCAGGUGGUCAGUCCUGUUAGGGUUAGAAUCAGAGCAGGUGGUCAGUCCUGUUAGAAUCAGAGCAGGUGGUCAGUCCUGUUAGAAUCAGAGCGGGUGGUCAGUCCUGUUAGAAUCAGAGCGGGUGGUCAGUCCUGUUAGGGUUAGAAUCAGAGCAGGUGGUCAGUCCUGUUAGGGUUAGAAUCAGAGCAGGUGGUCAGUCCUGUUAGAAUCAGAGCAGGUGGUCAGUCCUGUUAGAAUCAGA